UGGUGGUAGGCAGCGAGCAUGUAACAACGGAAACGUGAUUCUAAGCAUAACAAAGCUAGAAACGGUGUCAAGGUCAUGGUCAUCUUGCAUGUGAUUUCUUUAGACGGGAACCGGUCUUGUUCUUCCUGCACGAACUCUCCAGAAUCCACGUACUCGCUAUCCAUUCCCGUUGCUACCCAAAGAUAAGAUAACAACAAAUAAAC
rnacentral:lncRNA from 1 species